rnacentral:rRNA from 1 species
GACCAAAGAUUUAUCGCCCAGGGAUGAGCCCGCGUAGGAUUAGCUAGUUGGUGGGGUAAUGGCCUACCAAGGCGACGAUCCUUAGCUGGUCUGAGAGGAUGAUCAGCCACACUGGGACUGAGACACGGCCCAGACUCCUACGGGAGGCAGCAGUGGGGAAUAUUGGACAAUGGGCGAAAGCCUGAUCCAGCAAUGCCGCGUGAGUGAUGAAGGCCUUAGGGUUGUAAAGCUCUUUUACCCGGGAUGAUAAUGACAGUACCGGGAGAAUAAGCUCCGGCUAACUCCGUGCCAGCAGCCGCGGUAAUACGGAGGGAGCUAGCGUUGUUCGGAAUUACUGGGCGUAAAGCGCGCGUAGGCGGCUGCUCAAGUCAGAGGUGAAAGCCCGGGGCUCAACCCCGGAACUGCCUUUGAAACUAGGUAGCUAGAAUCUUGGAGAGGUCAGUGGAAUUCCGAGUGUAGAGGUGAAAUUCGUAGAUAUUCGGAAGAACACC